rnacentral:lncRNA from 1 species
GAGAAAAGGUCAUGGGAGCAGAAUGCAGCAGCUGCCAGCAAUAACCCACGGGUCUUAGAAACUCUCCUCAGGCCAUGGGUGCUGGGGGCUUUGGCUGGGCCUGCUAGGAUGAGGGAAAUUCACCCAAGAGGGUGAAAACCUACCAGUGACUGUUAUUUAUUCUUUGUGCUAAGAAUGUAUUCAAGUCUAUAAAUGUACUUAGUUUUUUAAAAAUCAGCAAAACAGCUUAAAAUCUGUUUGGACGAAUUGGGGCCCAAAGGUAACCUCUGGCGUGUAUUUUCAGAGCAGUUUUCCACUUCAUCGUGACAGACAUUUGAGUUUCUGGGAAAAUAUAAUCCAUAUGUUUCUGGGCCAUUUAUCCUGGAAACCUUGGGAAGACUUGCUUUGUCAGCACCGAGGGAGGGAGAAGAAAUGCAGGAGAUCUCACCACCCGUCCUUUCUCGGAUGCUUGGAAGUCUUAACAUGGCCCUGCAUACAAAAUAAUAUCCUCUGGCCACACAAAGCAAGUUAAGAAGAAAUGGAAGAAAAGAAGCUCUACAC